GUGCGGAUCCAUGUAUUGCUCUUGACCCGGGCAAGAUCCGACCCGGAAUACUGGGCCGGGCUUCUUGUCGUGUGUAAUUGUCUCUAGAAGGUUCUUCGCUAAGUCGCCAGUUCCGUAAAGAUACAUAUAUCGUCGGUAGACUAAUGCCAUGGUUCCGUCGCCUGGUCACAUCCCGCCUCUACCCUCACCGUCUUUGAAUCCGAGCUCCAGCACAAGGUAGGUAAAGCUAUGGGCAAUCCAAUUGAUCCCGGGAUAUUCCAUCCUUGCAACUUGGUGGUCUCUUCUUUCUGUCCCUACCUCCCAAAGAAUUUUUUUAAAAAAUAUAUGUAAUUUCUUAAUCAGGGACUAGAGGAGUUGAUAGAGUUUCCUCUGUAGGAUGAGGAAUACAACUUAUCCUUGCCUUAUUGGCAAGUUUAUGAGCUAAGAAAUUCGUUUGUCUGUCGAUAUGAAUCCAGUCUAAGACAUUGACCUCCUUAGCUAUCAUGUGAAUAUCCUUACAAAUGUUAUACAAGAACCCAGGAGUAGAAUUUGAUUGGUUGAGGAUGAGAUUUAUUUCUAGUGUAUCAGACUUGUCAACAAGAUUCUACAGGUUCAUUGAUUGCAAGUGCUGCAGGCUUGAUGUGAGUUACUGCUGGUGGCAAUCUCGACCCCAUCUAAGUUUAAAGACAGGAGAGUAAAAUGAGUAUGAACCAUCACAAAAAAUGAGAGCUUGUAGGUUCCCUGGAGUAUGGAGAAGUUUGUGGGGGAGGUAGGGGACAUGAUUUCUCUCUGGAGGGAAGGUUGACAUCGUUGAAGAGUGACAAGACUUUAAACUAUAGAGAGGAUUGUUGGAUUCGAUGAUUUGAGUAUUUAGAAUGGCAAGGUGAGCAUUAUGACUCAAGUGAGUUCUUUCCUUCAAGCAAGAAUCAGUGGGACAGUCAUUCAAGAAUUUGAAGGUGCAUGUUUGGAUUAAAAAAUAUUCCAGGUUGCGACAUGCUGAAGGGUCUGCGCACUCUAGAAAAGCUAGUACUACAGGCCUCCCAGUCGCAUAUGAUCAAAUUCACAAGAGCAUACUGAAUUAUGAUGGCUCACGCUAGAAAUAGUUGUUGGCUCUAAACACGCACGGAAACAACAGAACCUUAGAGCAAGUGAUAGAAGGUGGUGAAAGUGAGAACACCUUGCUAUUAUGAUGAUCUUUAUCGAUUAGCCCAAGUAGUAACUUAAAAAAUGGGUAAGGGUUAGUAAUUUAAGAUUAAGCUGAAUAUAUAUAUAUAUAUAUAUAUAUAUAUAUAUAUAUAUAUAUAUAUAUAUAUAUAUAUAUAGAGAGAGAGAGAGAGAGAGAGAGAGAGAGAGAGAGAGAGAGAGAGAACACAUUUGACAGAGUUAUCCUGAUUCUACUAGUUAAGGUGCCUAGCCCCUUGUACAGAAAUGCCAACUUGAAUGGUGGGUUAUCUUGAUCCUAGAAGUCUUGCGAAUAUGCAUCGCCCCUUGCACAGUAAUACCAACAGGAAUGGUGGGUCAGGUUCUUGUUUGUAGGGAACCUGGACAAGGGUUGCUGGCCAAUUGAAGUUUUAUAAUGAUGUUUCUAUAGUAUAGGAUCUCCUUUAGCUGUAUCAUUUUUAUCUAUUCUCUUAUCUGCAACAUGGAUAUAUGUUCAGAUAUAGAUGUGUAAUCUGGAUUCUUCCCCACAUCUCAUGACUAUCCAGUUGCAUUGAUCAACUUGUGGGCGAUUCUAGAGUUGAAAUGGUGGGGUAUUUAACUCUAUAAAUCAAUUUAAAUCGGUUUUCUGUGUCUAUUUCAGACCCAUAUCUUUAUCUCAGUUGAGCAGAAUUUUCUUGAUAUGGAUGCAACGUUGGGAAUCCGUUAAGGUCUGGAUAUUUUGCAAAGUUGGAUGUAGAUUAAUUAAAGCCAUGAUAUGAGAAUAUGUUUAGAAAUAUCAUCAUUACAAAUUAGUUCUUUGUGAUUUGGAUUCUGCAUAUAUUUAUAUAUUGGCGCAAUAUAUAUUUAUAUAUUGGAACAACCUUUUUCGACUUGGUUCCAUUUGAUUUUUCUGAACUUUUCAAUUAACUUUGAAUAAAUUUUUACAUGAUUGUUUAUGGAAUAUAAUUACACGGUAAUUGUUUUUAACAACAUGGGAAACGUAUUGCCUUUAACCGAUUUGGUUGGAGUAACGAUCGAUUUUCAUUGAAUCCUACAAUAGUGGAGUCAGAACGGGUUAAGAGUGAGAGCUCAACACAGUUAUCACCCCAUUAAGAGUAGAGGUUACAUUGUAUAGUUGUCCUUCAUAGCUGGCUAUAGUAAUUCCCACACCUGGCCCCAUGUCUUUGCUUAUUAGUUAAGACCAUCAACGGUCCUGGAAUUCGUAUCAACUUCCGCGUAGAUAUGAAGCAUACGAGGACAGCCUCCUGGCAUGCCGGAGCAUCCACCAAUUUCAGACCAUCCACUAUCUGGGAUGCACGGAGCUCAUAUGUGUCCCACCACACCAGAAGCCACAGCUCAAAAUAUCUUCUAAUAAAACACUCGCUAUUUAUCGUUCGAAGGCGCACGGCCAUUCCAACACGUAAAUGAAGUCUCUCACGAAUGGUUACGGGCCACGGCAUCGCGCAUGCAUGACCGCAGAUGGUAAGCACGCGACACCUGGUGGGGCGAAAUAGGUAACUGGAGCAGAAGCGUCGGCAAUACCGACUCGAAGAUGCGAUGCAUGCACACUGAAGGCCACUCUUGGAAGAUGUGAAAGCGUGGUGGGAGCUGAUGGCCAACGUCCCGCCUCAACGUGACGCGUCGCAUCAUUCGCAGUGCCACCAAGAUAAGAAGGUGAAGCCACUCUUUCAUCUCAAAUAAUAAAAGGACAUAAAAAAACAGAGAGAAAAAUAAAGACAAAAAAAUAGUAGGGGAUGUAAUUCCCAAGACCCAAUCAACUUGAUUUCUGAUACUAAGAAGAGGGGAUAAUAUGCCAAGAAGAUUCCACAGAAGUAGACCAUCCCCCCAUCUUUUGAACGGAGAAGACGGGGAAGAAGGAAUCCUAGUGGUGGAAAACGCUGCUACAAAACUAAACAAUUGUAGUUGACUGACCCCACGUAGAUUCUCGUUCAGCACGUAAUGUGUUGGUGGACUCCUUGUCAUAUCCCUCGGGGAAUAUUACUUCGUACAAACCAAAGUUCGAAUUCAACAACUGUCGCAUAUAGGAACAUGUGUUCUUACAUGUUAUGGAACCAACCUUUAAGCUUGGAUGUAAGUUGGCUGGCAGGUAUUUUCGUCCUCUUUUCAUAUGGAAAUGACUAAUAACUUUAAGAUGCAAUAGAUGGGAAGUUAUCCUGGCAACCUUUGAUUGUCGAAUGCCCGAAACCAAUCUGAAUUCUUUCAUCCAUGAAUGUUUGAGGACUCCAUCGAAGUAAGAAAACACAAAAAAAGGGAAUCUAAUCGACCUUUACGUAUCAAGGUUUGCCGCCACGCUGGAAACCAAAGGAGAAGGGCAUUUUCGGUAAUUUCGUAUUACUUUAUUCUUCUUCGGAGGGGCCCGCUUCAUGACUACACCUCCCGUCGUUUCCUACGCGGCGCCCAUCCCUUACGUUCGGCUCACUGCUUCCAAUGACUGCCGUGCUUUUAACCUUCACUCGGUCUCCUCACCAUUAACUUUUGCCUAAGCAAUCGUGAAGAGUACGUCAACCGCCCCUGCUCGAAAGCAGAGGAGAGGACGCGUCAACUGUCCUAAACCGAAUCGGAUCGUUUGGCUAACCAAACCGAUCGUAUAUGAAUUAGUGAAUGCGAAUUCCAAUUACUAAUAUUAUUAAUGUUAUACGUUUGGUUGUUUCGGACCCCUUGCGUCUCACGCUUUGCUUUCCUUUUGUCCUAUAAA